rnacentral:rRNA from 1 species
UCCGUAGGCGGGCGUCUAAGUCAGUGGUUAAAUCUUACAGCUCAACUGUAAAAUUGCCAUUGAUACUGGAUGUCUUGAAUUAGUGUGAAGUGGUUAGAAUGUGUAGUGUAGCGGUGAAAUGCAUAGAUAUUACACAGAAUACCAAUUGCGAAGGCAGAUCACUAACACUAUAUUGAAGCUGAGGGACGAAAGCGUGGGGAGCGAACAGGAUUAGAUACCCUGGUAGUCC